AAGCUGUGGUAAAGACGGUGAAAUCAAACAAGUCCACUCAACAUGUCCUUCAGGAGCCACACAGGGAGCAUCCGCACGGGCGGGGAAACUCCACGGUAUUCAUCAGCUGGAACUGUCAGCAAGGACAUUCAUUAAAUGGCAGCUGUUGCUUCAGCACUUGUAGGGGAGUGGAGCGAUCCUAACUCCAAAAUAGAUUUCUGAGGAUGAGAGCGUUUCCAGCUAAUGACUGCAGGAGAAGCCUGGUUGUGGGAUUUUUUUUUUUCCUUGAGCUUGUGGGAAAAGAAUGAGGAGCAAACAGUUGUCGUUAAGCCUGCAGAUGGUUGAGUCUUGGACGAUGGUAUGCAGGUAUUCAAAGGCCUGUUCUGUGGAACUUGAGAGUUACAGAAUGUACCACAUACACAAUUCUAUAAGUACCACCUAAAAAUGUAGAUUUUUUAAAAGUCCUUCAGACUGCAUUGACCCACUGAUCUGUCAACCUCACAUGGUGGAGCCGCUUCCUUCCCAUGUACCUGCUGCUAUGGAAUAGAACUGAUUAAUCCCUUCCUGUUGCUGUGGACCUUGUUUGAGAAGCUGGGGUGUGGUGUGAAAGCAUAGAUGGAGGACUCACUGGAAGAAUAAAAGGGACAAGCCGGACUUACAGGGCAAAGAAAUGUCAAGGGAUAAGCAGGAAUGAAAUCUGUGGUUGGAAUGACCGGAACAGUAAAAAGAACCCACUCCCAGCAGAAAGGCAUAGACCACAAGGGGAGAAAAGGCUGGACCCACUUAAGGAGCAGAGUCACUGGGGAAAGGCUUGACCAAAAUAGGUUUCCUCCAACCAGAUUACUCACUGGGAAAAGAGAAGGCAAGGCACAGACCUAGCCCCCAGUCAAGCAAAAACCCAGGAGCGAGCACCAGCCGCACCAAAGCCAGCUGCCACCAGACUCUGAUGUCGAAACAAGGGGCAGCUGCUAUUCAGCACAUUAUACCCUCAGACCAGCUCCAGAAUAGCAGAGUGAUUAAGAGCGGAUGGGCACAGGCUGGAGAGCGCCUGGACUCAUUUCAGACCUGCCACCUGCUUGCAGUGGGGAGGGAAGCAGUCUCAAUCUUCUCAGCCUCCCAAAUCUGUCAAAUCAUUGUAUAGGAGUACCUAUCUCAUACACCUAUUCACAGACAAUGUCAAUAAUCUAACUAAUAAUCUAAUAAUAAACUAACUCCUGAAACAUUUA